rnacentral:rRNA from 1 species
AGAGUUUGAUCCUGGCUCAGAAUGUGAACGCUGGCGGCAUGCCUUACACAUGCAAGUCGAACGGCAGCACGGGGGCAACCCUGGUGGCGAGUGGCGAACGGGUGAGUAAUACAUCGGAACGUGUCCUGUAGUGGGGGAUAGCCCGGCGAAAGCCGGAUUAAUACCGCAUACGCUCUACGGAGGAAAGGGGGGGAUCUUAAGACCUCCCGCUACAGGGGCGGCCGAUGGCAAAUUAGCUAGUUGGUGGGGUAAAGGCCUACCAAGGGCGAACGAUUCUGUAGCUGGUUCUGAGAGGACGACCAGCCACACUGGGACUGAGACACGGCCCAGAACUCCUACGGGAGGCAGCAGUGGGGAAUUUUGGACAAUGGGGGAAACCCUGAUCCAGCAAUGCCGCGUGUGUGAAGAAGGCCUUCGGGUUGUAGAGCACUUUUGUCCGG